UCCGGGUUUCGCCCGGCAGUCUCCCUAGAACAUUCAACUAAGGACAGGGGUUGCGCUCGUUGAGGGACUUAACCCAACACCUCACGGCACGAGCUGACGACAGCCGUGCAGCACCUGUGCACGCUCCCUCGCGGGUCCCUCAGCUUUCACCUCGGUACCACGUGCAUGUCAAGCCUGGGUAAGGUUCUUCGCGUUGCAUCGAAUUAAACCACACGCUCCGCUGCUUGUGCGGGCCCCCGUCAAUUCCUUUGAGUUUUAGCCUUGCGGCCGUACUUCCCAGGCGGAGAACUUAAUGCGUUGGCUACGGCACCGCGGGGGUCAACACCCACGACACCUAGUUCUCAUCGUUUACGGCGUGGACUA
rnacentral:misc_RNA from 1 species